rnacentral:rRNA from 1 species
CCCUUAGAUGUUCUGGGCCGCGCGCGCGCUACACUGAUGCAUUCAACGAGCCUAGCCUUGACCGAGAGGUCCGGGUAAUCUUUGAAACUGCAUCGUGAUGGGGCUAGAUUAUUGCAAUUAUUAAUCUUCAACGAGGAAUGCCUAGUAAGCGUGAUUCAUCAAAUCGCGUUGAUUACGUCCCUGCCCUUUGUACACACCGCCCGUCGCUCCUACCGAUUGAGUGUGUUGGUGAGGAGUUUGGAUUGGCCUCGGAAGGUGGUUCGCCACCGUCCGUAGCUGAGAAGUUCUCCAAACCGCCCCACUUAGAGGAAGGAGAAGUCGUAACA